AUUGAACGCUGGCGGCAUGCCUUACACAUGCAAGUCGAACGGUAACAGGUCUUCGGAUGCUGACGAGUGGCGAACGGGUGAGUAAUACAUCGGAACGUGCCCGAGAGUGGGGGAUAACGAAGCGAAAGCUUUGCUAAUACCGCAUACGAUCUCAGGAUGAAAGCAGGGGACCGCAAGGCCUUGUGCUCACGGAGCGGCCGAUGGCAGAUUAGGUAGUUGGUGGGAUAAAAGCUUACCAAGCCGACGAUCUGUAGCUGGUCUGAGAGGACGACCAGCCACACUGGGACUGAGACACGGCCCAGACUCCUACGGGAGGCAGCAGUGGGGAAUUUUGGACAAUGGGCGCAAGCCUGAUCCAGCCAUGCCGCGUGCAGGAUGAAGGCCUUCGGGUUGUAAACUGCUUUUGUACGGAACGAAAAGACUCCUUCUAAUAAAGGGGGUCCAUGACGGUACCGUAAGAAUAAGCACCGGCUAACUACGUGCCAGCAGCCGCGGUAACAC
rnacentral:rRNA from 1 species